UCAACACAUAGCCAGUAAGCCAGCUAUUUUUUCCCCAAAUUUCAUUCUUUAUUUUUUGUUUAACGCAAAAUUUGUCAAUAUUUUGAAAAUCUGAUUGCAACUUCCAGAACCUCCAAAUUCUCCAAAUUCUCUACACUCCUAUAUCCACCGCCGUAUCUGCAAUUCAUCCCCUCUUCCAUCGAAUGAAUUUCAUAACUCGCAACCCAUAGAUUAAUCGUCCGCUUCUUCGCUACUCCUUUCUUGUUUCGAAAUUUCGACUCACAACCCUUCUCUAUUCCUCUCAGACCCUAAAUUUCUGAAACCCUAACUUCUCUGCAACUGACGAAGGUACCAGUGCGUAAUGUCAAAAAACCCUUUCCCGUUUCUCAGAACCCUCUAAUAUUCUUUCAUGAACCCUUCAAAGUUCAAGAAAUCGAAUGUCUCCAAAACCCUAGAUUUCUCACGAACCCUUCAAAGUUCAAGAAAUCGUAAAGUUCAAGCUGAAAUGUCCAUUGCUACUCAACAUAAAAGCAAAGGAGUUGGAUCAAGAAACCAACCAUGCAAUUAAUUAGCAAGGAAAUGUUCACUGAUUUGGGGCAUGUGUCUGCACUUAUUCUGGUGGGAUUCGUUCGUAUGCUCUCCUUACCAUGCGCAUAGCGAUGUUACGGGUCAUUGGAAAGGCUCGCGUGCCAAUUAUUAAAUUCGUUGGAAAGAAGAGUGGUAUUUCCUUUGAUAUAAGGUUUGAAGACGUUCUCCUCUUUAAUUUUUGAUUGCUAGAUUUUGUUCUGUUUCAGGUCUCAUGCAGGUAGAACCUGUGACUGCUUCAGGUCUAAUACGGGCUAAUCCUUUGCCGAAUGCUACAGCGGCUGAGCCUGGUGAGGCGCAGACAUAUUCGGCUGCUGUUAAUUGGAAAAGGACAAUUAAAAUGUAAGAUUGAUGCAUCCUCUGCAACACAUUUAAAUAGAGCUGGGAUUGGAACAUGCAUCUGUGACGCACUUGGUCAAUUUGUUUUCAAAGACAGAAUGAAUUGCCCUUCUUUUUGGAGUAGAUACUGGUGAACCUCUUGGUAGUACUACAUUUUGGAGUAGUUCUUUUGUUGUGCAAGUAGUAUUACACUUUGGAAUAGACAGAGCUUUAGUUCUGAUGUUCAUACAGCAGCUGCAUGCACUGCUGCCACUGCAAAGGUAGUAAGUAAUCUUUGAACUGUCAGGACUAUUAGAUGUUAAUAAUUCUGGUCUGUUUUGUUGUCUAUUAUGGAGUUUAUGGGAACAAGUGCUAAACUCAAGCUUUAUAGUCGAAAAUUUUGUUUAUCAGUUACUUUAAUGUUGGAAUUUAUUGUUGGGAUUCCGUUCUGCUUAAGGUCUGAUGCGGGCAGAACCUACGACGAAGUCGGGUCUGAUACAGGCUGGUACAUUGCAGAAUGCAAACAUAUAUUGUCAAAAAUUGUUUCAAGAAACAGAAUGGUGUAAUUCAGAAUGCUUGGUUGAAAUUUCUUCCAUGGCUGAGCAAGUAAUUUUAAAAUAUAAUUGUUACUUUUAAUUUUGAGAAGUUUUAUGAGACCUUAGACAUGAUUCUUUUUUAAAGAGAUUCCAACAUGCCAAUUGGUGUGGAAUAUUUAUUAAUCUGCAUUGAUCUAGGAGGGUGAAAAAUUUGAAAAGAGCAAGAGCUUUUUGAAAAUUUUAAUGACUUGGAGGUGGGAUUUGGUUUUGUGAUUUCUUAUGGAGGAGGUUGUGAUGUCAAUGUUUGUCACUUUGUUAGCAUGUUUGCAUACUUCACUAUUAACUAACUUGCUUCUUACUUGAUUUUUUCUUCAGCUGAUGAUGUCUCAUUCAAAUCGAUGUCUUUGUUAUAUCUGAUGUUCUCUUUCAUAACAAUAUAAUUUUGGAUAUGGAUUUCGAAGCUUGGUGUUAUUGGAGUAAUGUCAAACUAUCCAAUUUAACUUGAGAAAAUUUCAGUUUCAGGGUAGUUUCACUUUAGGGAUGAGCAUCAUGAUGCUUGGCGAUCUAUAUGGUCUGUUGUUAUCUUGACUAGUGGGUGAUCUCGCAUCCAAAAGAUGUUUAAAUUUGUCCCUUUACAAGUUCUGAUUAUUUUUAAGGUAGUUAAAUUGAAUCUCCGGAGUUGGUCAAGUGCAAGGAAUGUCUGGUUCAAAUAUAUGUUUCAAUAUGGUUUAUUAAUCAGACAAUUUACUUGGGUAUUUACUAAAUUCAUAGACGUGGGAUGAAAUUAUUAUUUGACAGCUCCUAUGCAAAUUUU